rnacentral:rRNA from 1 species
CACGUAAGCCCCGAGCGUUGUCCGGAAUGAUUGGGCGUAAAGGGAGCGUAGACGGUAAGAAAAGUCUGAAGUGAAAUCCCGCGGCUCAACCGCGGAACUGCUUUGGAAACUGUUUUACCAGAGUGCAGGAGAGGUAAGUGGAAUUCCUAGUGUAUCGGUGAAAUGCGUAGAUAUUAGGAGGAACACCGGUGGCGAAGGCGGCUUACUGGACUGUAACUGACGUUGAGGCUCGAAAGCGUGGGGAGCAAAC